UUCAAAUUGAAUCGUGCCUCCACUAAUCUCUGUAUCUAUCUGUAUCUAUAUCUGUAUCUAUAUCUGUAUCUAUAUCUGUAUCUAUCUGUAUCUAUAUCUGUAUCCACUGUAUCUGUAUAUAUAUCUGUAUCUAUCUGUAUCUAUAUCUGUAUCUAUAUCUGUAUCCACUGUAUCUAUAUCUGUAUAUAUAUCUGUAUCUGUAUCCACUGUAUCUAUAUCUGUAUCCACUGUACCUAUAUCCAUCUGUAUCUAUAUCUGUAUCUGUAUCUAUAUCUGUAUCUAUAUCUAUCUGUAUCCACUGUAUCUAUAUCUGUAUCUAUAUAUAUCUGUAGCCACUGUAUCUAUAUCUAUAUAUAUAUAUCUAUAUCUGUAUCUAUCUGUAUCCAUCUGUAUCUAUAUCUGUAUCCACUGUAUCUAUAUCUAUCUGUAUCCACUGUAUCUAUAUCUAUAUCUGUAUCUAUAUCUAUAUCUAUCUGUAUCCAUCUGUAUCUAUAUCUAUAUCUGUAUCCACUGUAUCUAUAUCUGUAUCUAUAUCUGUAUCUAUCUGUAUCCACUGUAUCUAUAUCUGUAUCUAUCUGUAUCUAUAUCUGUAUCUAUAUCUAUCUGUAUCUAUAUCUGUAUCUAUAUCUAUAUCUGUAUCUAUAUCUGUAUCUAUAUCUAUAUCUGUAUUUAUCUGUAUCUAUAUCUAUCUAUCUAUCUGUAUCUAUAUCUGUAUCUAUCUGUAUCUAUAUCUAUAUCUGUAUCUAUCUGUAUCUAUAUCUGUAUCUAUCUGUAUCUAUAUCUGUAUCCAUCUGUAUCUAUAUCUGUAUCUAUCUGUAUCUAUAUCUGUAUCCAUCUGUAUCCAUCUGUAUCUAUAUCUGUAUCUAUAUCUGUAUCUAUAUCUGUAUCUGUAUCCAUCUGUAUCUAUAUCUGUAUCUAUAUCUGUAUCCACUGUAUCUAUAUCUGUAUCUAUAUCUGUAUCUAUAUCUGUAUCUAUCUGUAUCUAUAUCUGUAUCUAUCUGUAUCCACUGUAUCUAUAUCUGUAUCUAUCUGUAUCCACUGUAUCUAUAUCUGUAUCUAUCUGUAUCCACUGUAUCUAUAUCUGUCUCUGUAUCUAUCUGUAUCCACUGUAUCUAUAUCUGUAUCUAUAUCUGUAUCCACUGUAUCUAUAUCUGUCUCUGUAUCUAUCUGUAUCCACUGUAUCUAUAUCUGUCUCUGUAUCUAUAUCUGUAUCCACUGUAUCUAUAUCUGUCUCUGUAUCUAUCUGUAUCCACUGUAUCUAUCUGUAUCCACUGUAUUUAUAUCUGUAUCUAUCUGUAUCCACUGUAUUUAUAUCUGUCUCUGUAUCUAUCUGUAUCUAUAUCUGUAUCUAUAUCUGUAUCCACUGUAUCCAUCUGUAUCUGUAUCUAUAUCUGUAUCUGUAUCUAUAUCUGUAUCCACUGUAUCCAUCUGUAUCUGUAUCUAUAUCUGUAUCUAUCUGUAUCUAUAUCUAUCUGUAUCUAUAUCUAUCUGUAUCUGUAUCUAUCUGUAUCUGUAUCUAUAUCUGUAUCUAUAUCUAUCUGUAUCUAUAUCUGUAUCUAUCUGUAUCCAUCUGUAUCUAUCUGUAUCUAUAUCUAUAUCUGUAUCUAUCUGUAUCCAUCUGUAUCUAUAUCUGUAUCUAUAUCUGUAUCUAUCUGUAUCUAUAUCUAUCUGUAUCUAUAUCUGUAUCUAUCUGUAUCUAUAUCUGUAUCUAUCUGUAUCUAUAUCUGUAUCUAUAUCUGUAUCUAUCUGUAUCCAUCUAUAUCUAUAUCUGUAUCUAUAUCUGUAUCUAUCUGUAUCUAUAUCUAUCUGUAUCUAUAUCUGUAUCUAUCUGUAUCUAUAUCUGUAUCUAUAUCUGUAUCUAUCUGUAUCUAUAUCUGUAUCUAUAUCUGUAUCUAUAUCUGUAUCUAUCUGUAUCUAUCUGUAUUCAUCUGUAUCUAUAUCUGUAUCUAUAUCUAUCUAUAUCUGUAUCUAUCUGUAUCUAUAUCUGUAUCUAUAUCUGUAUCUAUCUGUAUCCAUCUGUAUCUACAUCUGUAUCUAUAUCUGUAUCUAUCUGUAUCCAUCUGUAUCUAUAUCUGUAUCUAUCUGUAUCCAUCUGUAUCUACAUCUGUAUCUAUAUCUGUAUAUAUCUGUAUCCAUCUGUAUCUAUCUGUAUCUAUAUCUGUAUCUAUCUGUAUCCAUCUGUAUCUAUAUCUGUAUCCAUCUGUAUCUAUAUCUGUAUCCAUCUGUAUCUAUAUCUGUAUCUAUCUAUAUCUGUAUCUAUCUGUAUCCAUCUGUAUCUAUAUCUGUAUCCAUCUGUAUCUAUAUCUGUAUCCAUCUGUAUCUAUAUCUGUAUCUAUCUAUAUCUGUAUCUAUCUGUAUCCAUCUGUAUAUAUAUCUGUAUCCAUCUGUAUCUAUAUCUGUAUCUAUCUGUAUCUAUAUCUGUAUCUAUCUGUAUCCAUCUGUAUCUAUAUCUGUAUCCAUCUGUAUCUAUAUCUAUCUGUAUCUAUAUCUGUAUCUAUCUGUAUCUAUAUCUGUAUCCACAUCUGUAUCUACAUCUGUAUCUAUAUCUGUAUCUAUUUCUGUAUCCACUGUAUCUAUAUCUAUAUCUAUCUGUAUCCACUGUAUCUAUAUCUGUAUCCACUGUAUCUAUAUCUGUAUCUCUGUAUCCAUCUGUAUCUAUAUCUGUAUCUAUCUGUAUCUACAUCUGUAUCUAUAUCUGUGUCCAUCUGUAUCUAUCCGUAUCUAUAUCUGUAUCUAUCUGUAUCUAUAUCUAUCUGUAUCUAUAUCUGUAUCUAUCUGUAUCUAUAUCUGUAUCUAUAUCUAUCUGUAUCCAUCUGUAUCUAUAUCUGUAUCUAUCUGUAUCUAUAUCUGUAUCUAUAUCUGUAUCUGUAUCUAUCUGUAUCCAUCUGUAUCUAUAUCUGUAUCCAUCUGUAUCUCUAUCUGUAUCUAUCUGUAUCUAUAUCUGUCUCUAUAUCUGUAUCUGUCUCUAUAUCUGUCUCUAUAUCUGUAUCUAUAUAUGUCUCUAUAUCUAUAUCUAUAUCUAUAUCUGUCUCUAUUUCUGUAUCUAUAUCUGUAUCUAUAUCUGUAUCUAUCUGUAUCUAUAUCUGUAUCUGUCUCUAUAUAUGUCUCUAUAUCUAUAUCUGUCUCUAUAUCUAUAUCUGUCUCUAUAUCUGUCUCUAUAUCUACAGUAUAUCUCAAAAGUGAG
rnacentral:lncRNA from 1 species